rnacentral:lncRNA from 1 species
CUGCUCUGAUGGCUCUAUUGGAUAGAUAGGUGAGAAACACAAAGGCCUGAAAAAAGGAAAAGAAAUUAUUUUCUUCAUACAGGCUGCCAUUCAAGCAGAUACUUUGAAGGACAACAAACAACAUUGGGAUUGAAGUGAUCAAGGAGAGCAGUGGUGUGGGGAAGGUGGCUCUGAAAGCAAGAAGUGACAGAGAAACCCCAUGAAACCCCAUGAAUCCAGCUGUGUCAGAGGACAAGAUCACCAUUCUCAAACAGUCUUCACUGUUCUAAAGGAGAGCAGUUUGUGAGAGCGCUGCCUAAUAGGCUUCUGACAGAGCCAGCUAGGUAAGUUUAAAAUUUAUAAAUGGAUAGUCUGAGCUAUGUCAGGCAAAUUUGCUUGAGGAACUGUAGGAGUGUUCCUGUAAAUGUUUUCAGUAGAA